rnacentral:rRNA from 1 species
GCGGUAAGUUUCUUCGGAAACCUAGAGCGGCGCACGGGUGAGUAACGCGUACAUGACCUACCUUUAAGACCGGGAUAGCCCUGGGAAACUGGGAUUAAUACCGGAUGUGAUAAUAGAUAUAAAGAUUUAUUAUUAAAGUUCCGGCGCUUAGAGAUGGAUGUGCGUCUGAUUAGCUAGUUGGUAGGGUAACGGCCUACCAAGGCGACGAUCAGUAGGGGGCGUGAGAGCGUGGCCCCCCACACGGGUACUGAGACACGGACCCGACUCCUACGGGAGGCAGCAGUAAGGAAUAUUGGUCAAUGGACGGAAGUCUGAACCAGCCAUCCCGCGUGCAGGAUGAAGGUCCUAUGGAUUGUAAACUGCUUUUAGCAGAGACGAAACGCUUUCAUUUAUGAGAGUCUGACGGUAUCUGCAGAAUAAGCACCGGCUAACUCCGUGCCAGCAGCCGCGGUAAUACGGAGGGUGCAAGCGUUAUCCGGAAUCACUGGGUUUAAAGGGUGCGUAGGCGGGAAAUUAAGUCAGUGGUGAAAUCCUGUCGCUUAACGAUAGAACUGCCAUUGAUACUGAUUUUCUUGAAUUGGGUUGAGGUU